AGCGAACGCUGGCGGCAGGCCUAACACAUGCAAGUCGAACGAGGUCUUCGGACUUAGUGGCGGACGGGUGAGUAACACGUGGGAACGUGCCUUUAGGUUCGGAAUAACUCAGGGAAACUUGUGCUAAUACCGAAUGUGCCCUUCGGGGGAAAGAUUUAUCGCCUUUAGAGCGGCCCGCGUCUGAUUAGCUAGUUGGUGAGGUAAUGGCUCACCAAGGCUACGAUCAGUAGCUGGUCUGAGAGGAUGACCAACCACAUUGGGACUGAGACACGGCCCAAACUCCUACGGGAGGCAGCAGUGGGGAAUCUUGCGCAAUGGGCGAAAGCCUGACGCAGCCAUGCCGCGUGGAUGAUGAAGGUCUUAGGAUUGUAAAAUCCUUUCACCGGUGAAGAUAAUGACUGUAGCCGGAGAAGAAGCCCCGGCUAACUUCGUGCCAGCCGCCGCUGUAACAC
rnacentral:rRNA from 1 species